UUUAUGGAGAGUUUGAUCCUGGCUCAGGGUGAACGCUGGCGGCGUGCUUAAGACAUGCAAGUCGAACGAGAUCUUCGGAUCUAGUGGCGCACGGGUGAGUAUCGCGUGACUGACCUGCCCCAAAGUUCCGAAUAACUGGCUGAAAGGUCAGCUAAUACGGAAUGUGCAGCAUCCUCGUGUGGAUGUUGUAAAGGCUAUGACCGCUUUGGGAUGGGGUUGCGUUCCAUCAGCUAGUUGG
rnacentral:ncRNA from 1 species